UGCAGUCGAGGGGCAGCAUAAUGGAUAGCAAUAUCUAUGGUGGCGACCGGCGCACGGGUGCGUAACGCGUAUGCAACCUACCUUUAACAGGGGGAUAACACUGAGAAAUUGGUACUAAUACCCCAUAAUAUCAUAGAAGGCAUCUUUUAUGGUUGAAAAUUCCGAUGGUUAGAGAUGGGCAUGCGUUGUAUUAGCUAGUUGGUGGGGUAACGGCUCACCAAGGCGACGAUACAUAGGGGGACUGAGAGGUUAACCCCCCACACUGGUACUGAGACACGGACCAGACUCCUACGGGAGGCAGCAGUGAGGAAUAUUGGUCAAUGGACGCAAGUCUGAACCAGCCAUGCCGCGUGCAGGAUGACGGCUCUAUGAGUUGUAAACUGCUUUUGUACGAGGGUAAACGCAGAUACGUGUAUCUGUCUGAAAGUACCGUACGAAUAAGGAUCGGCUAACUCCGUGCCAGCAGCCGCGGUAAUACGGAGGAUUCAAGCGUUAUCCGGAUUUAUUGGGUUUAAAGGGUGCGUAGGCGGUUUGAUAAGUUAGAGGUGAAAUUUCGGGGCUCAACCCUGAACGUGCCUCUAAUACUGUUGAGCUAGAGAGUAGUUGCGGUAGGCGGAAUGUAUGGUGUAGCGGUGAAAUGCUUAGAGAUCAUACAGAACACCGAUUGCGAAGGCAGCUUAC
rnacentral:rRNA from 1 species